rnacentral:rRNA from 1 species
AUUGAACGCUGGCGGCAGGCCUAACACAUGCAAGUCGAACGGUAGCACAGAGAGCUUGCUCUCGGGUGACGAGUGGCGGACGGGUGAGUAAUGUCUGGGAAACUGCCUGAUGGAGGGGGAUAACUACUGGAAACGGUAGCUAAUACCGCAUAACGUCGCAAGACCAAAGAGGGGGACCUUCGGGCCUCUUGCCAUCAGAUGUGCCCAGAUGGGAUUAGCUAGUAGGUGGGGUAACGGCUCACCUAGGCGACGAUCCCUAGCUGGUCUGAGAGGAUGACCAGCCACACUGGAACUGAGACACGGUCCAGACUCCUACGGGAGGCAGCAGUGGGGAAUAUUGCACAAUGGGCGCAAGCCUGAUGCAGCCAUGCCGCGUGUAUGAAGAAGGCCUUCGGGUUGUAAAGUACUUUCAGCGGGGAGGAAGGUGUUGUGGUUAAUAACCGCAGCAAUUGACGUUACCCGCAGAAGAAG